UGUAUAAGACUGGUGGCUCUACUAAAGCCUAGCAUACUGCGACAGGGCAUGGAGGAUCAGGACCAAAUAUUCUGGAUCUCAGACUGACUACAGUGCGGACUAUCUGGAACAUGCAGAGAGCGAGCAGACAGGCACUGGUGGUCUCCGGUGGUUCCUUUACCUACUUCACCACCUGUAUAGAGGGAGGAGUUGGUCGGGUGAAUGAUAGCGUCGCUUUCCACGAUGGAAAUGUUGGCCUGGACAACUUGCAACUACAGACAACAACGACAGGCAAACAACAUGGAGAAAUCAAACUGACCUUUUGACCCAGGAAGAGGCUCUUGGUGGAUAGCACGGUGAAGCUGUCAGUCGGAGAGCCCUCUGUGGUGCUGUCUGCUGAUGCUGCCUUGCUCACCUCACCCUGCUUCUGUGGAAGACAAAAAUGCA